UACAGAGGUCCCAAGCGUUGUUCGGAUUCACUGGGCGUAAAGGGUGCGUAGGUGGUCGGGUAAGUCUGAUGUGAAAUCUCCGGGCCUAACCCGGAAACUGCAUCGGAUACUAUUCGGCUAGAGGGUUGGAGGGGGGACUGGAAUACUUGAUGUAGCAGUGAAAUGCGUAGAUAUCAAGUGGAACACCAGUGGCGAAGGCGAGUCCCUGGACAACUCCUGACACUGAGGCACGAAAGCUAGGGGAGCAAACAGG
rnacentral:rRNA from 1 species